rnacentral:rRNA from 1 species
CCUAAGGUAGCGAAAUUCCUUGUCGGGUAAGUUCCGACCUGCACGAAUGGCGUAAUGAUGGCCAGGCUGUCUCCACCCGAGACUCAGUGAAAUUGAACUCGCUGUGAAGAUGCAGUGUACCCGCGGCAAGACGGAAAGACCCCGUGAACCUUUACUAUAGCUUGACACUGAACAUUGAGCCUUGAUGUGUAGGAUAGGUGGGAGGCUUGGAAGUGUGGACGCCAGUCUGCAUGGAGCCGACCUUGAAAUACCACCCUUUAAUGUUUGAUGUUCUAACGUUGACCCGUAAUCCGGGUUGCGGACAGUGUCUGGUGGGUAGUUUGACUGGGGCGGUCUCCUCCUAAAGAGUAACGGAGGAGCACGAAGGUUGGCUAAUCCUGGUCGGACAUCAGGAGGUUAGUGCAAUGGCAUAAGCCAGCUUGACUGCGAGCGUGACGGCGCGAGCAGGUGCGAAAGCAGGUCAUAGUGAUCCGGUGGUUCUGAAUGGAAGGGCCAUCGCUCAACGGAUAAAAGGUACUCCGGGGAUAACAGGCUGAUACCGCCCAAGAGUUCAUAUCGACGGCGGUGUUUGGCACCUCGAUGUCGGCUCAUCACAUCCUGGGGCUGAAGUAGGUCCCAAGGGUAUGGCUGUUCGCCAUUUAAAGUGGUACGCGAGCUGGGUUUAGAACGUCGUGAGACAGUUCGGUCCCUAUCUGCCGUGGGCGCUGGAGAACUGAGGGGGGCUGCUCCUAGUACGAGAGGACCGGAGUGGACGCAUCACUGGUGUUCGGGUUGUCAUGCCAAUGGCACUGCCCGGUAGCUAAAUGCGGAAGAGAUAAGUGCUGAAAGCAUCUAAGCACGAAACUUGCCCCGAGAUGAGUUCUCCCUGACUCCUUGAGAGUCCUGAAGGAACGUUGAAGACGACGACGUUGAUAGGCCGGGUGUGUAAGCGCAGCGAUGCGUUGAGCUAACCGGUACUAAUGAACCGUGAGGCUUAACCUU